rnacentral:rRNA from 1 species
GACGUAGGGCGCGAGCGUUGUCCGGAUUUAUUGGGCGUAAAGAGCUCGUAGGCGGUUUGUUGCGUCGGCUGUGAAAUCCCGAGGCUCAACCUCGGGUCUGCAGUCGAUACGAGCAAACUAGAGUGUUGCAGGGGAGACUGGAAUUCCUGGUGUAGCGGUGAAAUGCGCAGAUAUCAGGAGGAACACCGGUGGCGAAGGCGGGUCUCUGGGCAACAACUGACGCUGAGACGCGAAAGCGUGGGGAGCAAACAGG